UGAUGAAGGAGAAGUCGCAACGUGUUCUCAGUAGGUGAUCCUGCGGGGGGAUCACAACAAGUGCCCCCGGUCCAACCCCGGGGAUUUUCAUACCCUUUUGUUCUCAGACUCGUUGCCCCUCGGGGGCGCCCCCCCCUUGGGGGGGGGCCUCGGGGGGCACUUUUCAAAUUCUGGGGUACCUUGCCAUUUGGAGUAAAUUUAAUUAAUAAAUUAAAACUUUAACCAACGGUUUUUUGGGUUUGGCCUUGGAGGAGGAAGGCAGGGAAAUGGGAUAAGUAAUGGGAAUUCCGGAAUCCAGGGAUUCUUGGAUUCUUGGAACCCCCAUUGCCCCCCCGGGUAUUCCGGGGGCCAGGAGGGUUGGAGGUCCAUUUCCCCAUCCAACCCUCGCUGGGUAUUGGGCAACGCGGUUCCCCGCGCGCCUUCAAUUGGACGGGUGGGUUCUUCGGUCCCUCUAAGCGUUGGGAACUAUUUCGUAAAGGGGCCUCGGGAGGCCACGCCGUAAAACAACCCCAUUUCUAAGGUUGACCUCCCCGGGAUUCAGGGAUACCCGCUGAACAACUUAAUAUCAAUAAUCGGAGGAAAA
rnacentral:rRNA from 1 species